UACGUAGGUGGCAAGCGUUGUCCGGAAUUAUUGGGCGUAAAGCGCGCGCAGGCGGCCUUUUAAGUCUGAUGUGAAAGCCCACGGCUCAACCGUGGAAGGUCAUUGGAAACUGAAAGGCUUGAGUACAGAAGAGGAAAGCGGAAUUCCACGUGUAGCGGUGAAAUGCGUAGAGAUAUGGAGGAACACCAGUGGCGAAGGCGGCUUUCUGGUCUGUAACUGACGCUGAGGCGCGAAAGCGUGGGGAGCAAACAGG
rnacentral:rRNA from 1 species